GGGCGCAUAGCUCAGCGGGAGAGCACUCGCCUUACAAGCGAGCGGUCGCAGGUUCGAAUCCUGCUGCGCCCACCA
rnacentral:tRNA from 1 species